AGAGAGGGCAUUUUUCUUCUUUUUUGGUGGUGCUGCUGCUUGGGAUUUGAACCCAGGGCCUCACACUUGUGAGGCUGGCACAAUAACACUGAGUCAUGCUUCCGAUCCUGUUUAUCAUUGGUUAUUUUUAGAGCAGGAUUUCCUUUCCCACCUGAGCUGUAAAGCAGUGAUCUACCUACUUUUAGGUUUCCUGUAGUUGCUAGGAUCAUAGGCACUUGCCACUCUUGUCUAGCUUCCUUCCCUUAAAAUGGAAUUGCACAGACUUCUGCGCAGGCUGGCUUUGAACUGUAAUCCUCCUGAUCUCAGCCUCCCAAGUAGAUGGAUUAUAAGUAAGAACUAGUGGCAUCUGGACUCACUUUUUUAAAAGGUAUUACUGGAGUUUGAACUCAGGGCUUUGCACUUACUCAGCACAAGAGAUUUUUUUUUUUAAUUGUGCGAUUUUUAGGCAUUUUCUGUAUUUAAAAUAAUAGAACUAUUCUAAGUGCUUAAAAACAAAUUUUGGUGCAAAAGUCCAAAAUUAGGAAAGAAAGGAAUGAUGGAAAAGGAAGGAUAGGAAGGAAAAGAAGGAAGGAGAGAAGGAAGAAAGGAAAAAUGACUUGGCUUCUUAUGUCUGUCCCAUGUAAGUUGGGUAGUUGGUUCUGGGUGCAAAUGUCUGAGGAAUUAAUUACAAUAGGAGAAAGGAAAUUACUUUGAGAGGCUUGCUCCUUGCACUGCCAUUAAGCAGUAGUCCCUUAAGCCAUGAAUAACUUGGUGUUAUGUGGAUUAUGAAGUUACUAAUGUCGCUUGGUACAUAAUGUCUCUUUAAGUAGUUUAUAUAAUUUACAUAUCUUUAAGUAGUCACACUUUGGAAUUGAGAACAAUUUAUAUAUAUUUAGAUCUAGUAAGUACCUAACAGUUACAUAAUAUAAUAUUGAUUAAAAACAAAUCUAUUUCUUAUAAUAGUAUUGCCAGUUACUGUUAGAACACAGAAACUAAUUCUGAAACACUGUGAUGAGAACUCCAAAGCAUUCAUACAAAUAUACACAAAACAAUAAACAAACAUUUUCAUUUUAGAAAAGAAUUGACUUUUUCUUUUUUCCUGGGCUUAACUCAGAGCCUUAUGAUCUUGCUUGGCUUUUUCACUUAAGGCUGGCAAUCUGCCAUGGAACCACAUUUCCAUUUCUGGUUGUUUUUUUUUCUUUUUUCUGCUUAAUUGGACAGAGACUUUUAUGCUCCAGCUGGCUAUGAACCUGAGAUCUUCAGAUCUCAGCCAUCUGAGUUGUUAGUAUUAUAAGCAUGAACUACUUGGCUUGACCUUUUUGAAAAAAAUAUUGUUUAAGAAAAGUCCUAAUCACUUUUACCCUCCAGAGAAUUUUAAUAUGUCCCAUUUCACAUCAUAUCAUAUAAUCAUACAUGUGGUAUACUGUUAGAACUAUGAGUUUAGUUGCUUCAAAAUUUACACCAAAAUAUUCAGUUGCUGGACUCAUUUUUAUAUGAAUCUUAUUAGCAUUCAAGUUAUAUAUCCUAUUCUAAUAAGUGGAUAGAGAAUACUUUAUUAUUUUUAGUUCCUAUACUGUAUUAUUUUGUGCUUUGACUACUUUGUGAAAUAUUAGAAUUUUUGUUAGAAUGUGUGUGUACUCAUGCAUUGCCAUUAUUGAGGCUUGAACUCAAAGCCUAAGGGUUGUCCUUUAGCUUUUUUUGCUGAGAGCUGGUGAUCUACCACUUUGACUUAGAGUUUCAAUCCUGGCUUUAUAGUGGUUAAUUAGAGAUAAGUGUCAUGAAUUUUUCUGCUUGUGCUGGCUUUGAACCAUGAUUCUCAGAUCUCAGCUUCAGAUUACAGGCAUGAGCCUUCAGCACCUGGCAGUAUUAGGAAUUUGAGGUGACAAGUUUACAUUUAAUGCCUAUUUUACGUGCAAGAAAUAUGAACCUGUUAUUUGGGGUGUGUGAUAGCAAUGUCCUUUUAGAUCUCAGUAAAUGUGUUCAGAUGGUUAAGGGACAGUAGAUUCUCAAAUCAGGCUGAAUUGUAGGAGUAUGCCAAAUGUCAUUCAAAGUGUCA